AAAUUGAAGAGUUUGAUCAUGGCUCAGAUUGAACGCUGGCGGCAGGCCUAACACAUGCAAGUCGAACGGUAACAGGAAACAGCUUGCUGUUUCGCUGACGAGUGGCGGACGGGUGAGUAAUGUCUGGGAAACUGCCUGAUGGAGGGGGAUAACUACUGGAAACGGUAGCUAAUACCGCAUAACGUCGCAAGACCAAAGAGGGGGACCCUCGGGCCUCUUGCCAUCGGAUGUGCCCAGAUGGGAUUAGCUUGUUGGUGGGGUAACGGCUCACCAAGGCGACGAUCCCUAGCUGGUCUGAGAGGAUGACCAGCCACACUGGAACUGAGACACGGUCCAGACUCCUACGGGAGGCAGCAGUGGGGAAUAUUGCACAAUGGGCGCAAGCCUGAUGCAGCCAUGCCGCGUGUAUGAAGAAGGCCUUCGGGUUGUAAAGUACUUUCAGCGGGGAGGAAGGGAGUAAAGUUAAUACCUUUGCUCAUUGACGUUACCCGCAGAAGAAGCACCGGCUAACUCCGUGCCAGCAGCCGCGGUAAUACGGAGGGUGCAAGCGUUAAUCGGAAUUACUGGGCGUAAAGCGCACGCAGGCGGUUUGUUAAGUCAGAUGUGAAAUCCCCGGGCUCAACCUGGGAACUGCAUCUGAUACUGGCAAGCUUGAGUCUCGUAGAGGGGGGUAGAAUUCCAGGUGUAGCGGUGAAAUGCGUAGAGAUCUGGAGGAAUACCGGUGGCGAAGGCGGCCCCCCUGGACGAAGACUGACGCUCAGGUGCGAAAGCGUGGGGAGCAAACAGGAUUAGAUACCCUGGUAGUCCACGCCGUAAACGAUGUCGACUUGGAGGUUGUGCCCUUGAGGCGUGGCUUCCGGAGCUAACGCGUUAAGUCGACCGCCUGGGGAGUACGGCCGCAAGGUUAAAACUCAAAUGAAUUGACGGGGGCCCGCACAAGCGGUGGAGCAUGUGGUUUAAUUCGAUGCAACGCGAAGAACCUUACCUGGUCUUGACAUCCACGGAAGUUUUCAGAGAUGAGAAUGUGCCUUCGGGAACCGUGAGACAGGUGCUGCAUGGCUGUCGUCAGCUCGUGUUGUGAAAUGUUGGGUUAAGUCCCGCAACGAGCGCAACCCUUAUCCUUUGUUGCCAGCGGUCCGGCCGGGAACUCAAAGGAGACUGCCAGUGAUAAACUGGAGGAAGGUGGGGAUGACGUCAAGUCAUCAUGGCCCUUACGACCAGGGCUACACACGUGCUACAAUGGCGCAUACAAAGAGAAGCGACCUCGCGAGAGCAAGCGGACCUCAUAAAGUGCGUCGUAGUCCGGAUUGGAGUCUGCAACUCGACUCCAUGAAGUCGGAAUCGCUAGUAAUCGUGGAUCAGAAUGCCACGGUGAAUACGUUCCCGGGCCUUGUACACACCGCCCGUCACACCAUGGGAGUGGGUUGCAAAAGAAGUAGGUAGCUUAACCUUCGGGAGGGCGCUUACCACUUUGUGAUUCAUGACUGGGGUGAAGUCGUAACAAGGUAACCGUAGGGGAACCUGCGGUUGGAUCACCUCCUUA
rnacentral:rRNA from 1 species